rnacentral:rRNA from 1 species
AAUGAACGCUAGCGGCAGGCUUAAUACAUGCAAGUCGAGGGACAGCACAGGUAGCAAUACUGGGUGGUAACCGGCAAACGGGUGCGGAACACGUACACAACCUUCCUUUAAGUGGGGGAUAGCCCAGAGAAAUUUGGAUUAAUACCCCGUAAUAUAGUUGAAUGGCAUCAUUUGAUUAUUAUAGCUACGGCGCUUAAUGAUGGGUGUGCGGCUGAUUAGAUAGUUGGCGGGGUAACGGCCCACCAAGUCUACGAUCAGUAGGUGAUGUGAGAGCAUGUGCAGCCACACGGGAACUGAGACACGGGCCCGACUCCUACGGGAGGCAGCAGUAAGGAAUAUUGGUCAAUGGACGCAAGUCUGAACCAGCCAUGCCGCGUGAAGGAUUAAGGUCCUCUGGAUUGUAAACUUCUUUUAUUUGGGACGAAAAAGGGCCUUUCUAGGUCAACUGACGGUACCAGAUGAAUAAGCACCGGCUAACUCCGUGCCAGCCGCCGCAGUAACAC